GACGAACGCUGGCGGCGUGCCUAAUACAUGCAAGUUGAGCGCUGAAGGUUGGUACUUGUACCCACUGGAUGAGCAGCGAACGGGUGAGUAACGCGUGGGGAAUCUGCCUUUGAGCGGGGGACAACAUUUGGAAACGAAUGCUAAUACCGCAUAAAAACUUUAAACACAAGUUUUAAGUUUGAAAGAUGCAAUUGCAUCACUCAAAGAUGAUCCCGCGUUGUAUUAGCUAGUUGGUGGGGUAAAGGCUCACCAAGGCGAUGAUACAUAGCCGACCUGAGAGGGUGAUCGGCCACAUUGGGACUGAGACACGGCCCAAACUCCUACGGGAGGCAGCAGUAGGGAAUCUUCGGCAAUGGACGAAAGUCUGACCGAGCAACGCCGCGUGAGUGAAGAAGGUUGUCGGAUCGUAAAACUCUGUUGGUAGAGAAGAACGUUGGUGAGAGUGGAAAGCUCAUCAAGUGACGGUAACUACCCAGAAAGGGACGGCUAACUACGUG
rnacentral:rRNA from 1 species